CGUAUUUACACUACAAUCCAAGACGCUAUAUCAGUCAAACUGGCUAACACACACUCACACGGGGUAAAACCAAACCCUAUUCAUUCAGCAAUCAGACCUGAUCGUUUCUCUCCUCUCCCUAUUUUUUAUUAUUUUUUUUUUUAUUUUAUUUGUGGCGUUCCGCGUCACUCGCGUGACGAAUGACAAGGCGGCAGACCUAAACACGGUCAGUUUACUUGGUGGAUUUGGAGCGGCAAUUUUCACACAAAAGAGGAGAAAAACGAGCGUCAGUGCGGAAAAUACUGGUGGCGACGGAGAUAGUGACGAUGUAACAACAUUGGUUCCGAAAAAAGGAAAGCAAAGAAGUUACAUAUGGACGUUUCUCAAUCGGAAGGCUGCAGCCUCCGAAGGUCGCAUAUGCAGGCUGCAUACGUGGGACUGAUUCUCCGUGCUGAUGAAAGUUGUGUUUGUUAUUAUUCAGUUUGUUUAAGUAUUACUUAAGUAAGACUUAUUUAAUGCCUGCUAUGACUGUACACACAAUUUCAUUCUUAAUUUCUAUAUCAUUGUUCAUUUUCUACAGAUUUUUGCCACUGCACCACUACACUCUGACUCUCCCUGCUAGUCCAAGGCUGAUACUGCUGGUUGCUGGUGAAGUCACACUUGGAGGUUGGAUGCAUUGAAAACAACAUCAUCUGUGAAGGCAUCCACCAAAGCUUCAUCAGAGGGCUGGCUGCAGUUUUCGCCACCUACUAUGUGUUCAACUUGCAAUACCAAGAGGAAGCUGCCAGGACACUGGACUUUGUUCAAAGAUGCUUAAUUGGUGUGAACCCUGAAAGGGGAACAAAAGCCAGCCAAGUGAAGGUGUCCAAGAAGAAGGAAAGCUUGUCCAGAAAAAGGCAGCAAAUGUGAAUCCCCAUGUGGCCAACCUUAUCAAAAACCUCAUGGACUUUGAGUGGGGCUUUAUUUAAUUUUUUUAUAUUACAGUUUAUUUUAAUUGAAGAUGAUGUUACAGCAUUGUGUUCAGCACUUCAGUUAAGAAAAGUCACAGCAUUGUGGUGUUUAUUAUAUUUAAUAAAAACUGUGUAUUA